rnacentral:rRNA from 1 species
UGAGGAAUAUUGGUCAAUGGGCGAGAGCCUGAACCAGCCAAGUAGCGUGCAGGAUGACGGCCCUAUGGGUUGUAAACUGCUUUUAUAUGGGGAUAAAGUGGGGAACGUGUUCCCUUUUGCAGGUACCAUAUGAAUAAGGACCGGCUAAUUCCGUGCCAGCAGCCGCGGUAAUACGGAAGGUCCAGGCGUUAUCCGGAUUUAUUGGGUUUAAAGGGAGCGUAGGCUGUUUGUUAAGCGUGUUGUGAAAUGUAAGAGCUCAACUUUUAGAUUGCAGCGCGAACUGGCAGACUUGAGUGCGCACAACGUAGGCGGAAUUCAUGGUGUAGCGGUGAAAUGCUUAGAUAUCAUGACGAACUCCGAUUGCGAAGGCAGCUUACGGGAGCGCAACUGACGCUAAAGCUCGAAGGUGCGGGUAUCGAACAGG